AAUCAACGCUGGCGGCGCGCCUCAGACAUGCAAGUCGAACGAUUAAAGCUCUCUUCGGAGAGUGCAUAGAGUGGCGCACGGGUGAGUAACACGUAAGUAAUCUACCCUCGAGUGGGGAAUAACGUCCGGAAACGGACGGCUAAUACCGCAUAAUGCAGCGGCACCGCAAGGUGGCAGUUGUUAAAGGAGAAAUUCGCUUGAGGAGGAGCUUGCGGCAGAUUAGCUUGUUGGUAAGGUAACGGCUUACCAAGGCUACGAUCUGUAACCGGUCUUAGAGGACGGUCGGUCACACUGACACUGAAUAACGGGUCAGACUCCUACGGGAGGCAGCAGUCGGGAAUUUUGGGCAAUGGGCGAAAGCCUGACCCAGCAACGCCGCGUGAAGGAUGAAGUAUUUCGGUAUGUAAAC
rnacentral:rRNA from 1 species